GUAGGGGAGCGUUCUGUAAGCCUGUGAAGGUGGCCUGUGAGGGUUGCUGGAGGUAUCAGAAGUGCGAAUGCUGACAUAAGUAACGAUAAAGCGGGUGAAAAGCCCGCUCGCCGGAAGACCAAGGGUUCCUGUCCAACGUUAAUCGGGGCAGGGUGAGUCGACCCCUAAGGCGAGGCCGAAAGGCGUAGUCGAUGGGAAACAGGUUAAUAUUCCUGUACUUGGUGUUACUGCGAAGGGGGGACGGAGAAGGCUAUGUUGGCCGGGCGACGGUUGUCCCGGUUUAAGCGUGUAGGCUGGUUUUCCAGGCAAAUCCGGAAAAUCAAGGCUGAGGCGUGAUGACGAGGCACUACGGUGCUGAAGCGACAAAUGCCCUGCUUCCAGGAAAAGCCUCUAAGCAUCAGGUAACAUCAAAUCGUACCCCAAACCGACACAGGUGGUCAGGUAGAGAAUACCAAGGCGCUUGAGAGAACUCGGGUGAAGGAACUAGGCAAAAUGGUGCCGUAACUUCGGGAGAAGGCACGCUGAUAUGUAGGUGAAGCGACUUGCUCGUGGAGCUGAAAUCAGUCGAAGAUACCAGCUGGCUGCAACUGUUUAUUAAAAACACAGCACUGUGCAAACACGAAAGUGGACGUAUACGGUGUGACGCCUGCCCGGUGCCGGAAGGUUAAUUGAUGGGGUUAGCGGUAACGCGAAGCUCUUGAUCGAAGCCCCGGUAAACGGCGGCCGUAACUAUAACGGUCCUAAGGUAGCGAAAUUCCUUGUCGGGUAAGUUCCGACCUGCACGAAUGGCGUAAUGAUGGCCAGGCUGUCUCCACCCGAGACUCAGUGAAAUUGAACUCGCUGUGAAGAUGCAGUGUACCCGCGGCAAGACGGAAAGACCCCGUGAACCUUUACUAUAGCUUGACACUGAACAUUGAGCCUUGAUGUGUAGGAUAGGUGGGAGGCUUUGAAGUGUGGACGCCAGUCUGCAUGGAGCCGACCUUGAAAUACCACCCUUUAAUGUUUGAUGUUCUAACGUGGGCCCCUUACCGGGGUUGCGGACAGUGUCUGGUGGGUAGUUUGACUGGGGCGGUCUCCUCCUAAAGAGUAACGGAGGAGCACGAAGGUUGGCUAAUCCUGGUCGGACAUCAGGAGGUUAGUGCAAUGGCAUAAGCCAGCUUGACUGCGAGCGUGACGGCGCGAGCAGGUGCGAAAGCAGGUCAUAGUGAUCCGGUGGUUCUGAAUGGAAGGGCCAUCGCUCAACGGAUAAAAGGUACUCCGGGGAUAACAGGCUGAUACCGCCCAAGAGUUCAUAUCGACGGCGGUGUUUGGCACCUCGAUGUCGGCUCAUCACAUCCUGGGGCUGAAGUAGGUCCCAAGGGUAUGGCUGUUCGCCAUUUAAAGUGGUACGCGAGCUGGGUUUAGAACGUCGUGAGACAGUUCGGUCCCUAUCUGCCGUGGGCGCUGGAGAACUGAGGGGGGCUGCUCCUAGUACGAGAGGACCGGAGUGGACGCAUCACUGGUGUUCGGGUUGUCAUGCCAAUGGCACUGCCCGGUAGCUAAAUGCGGAAGAGAUAAGUGCUGAAAGCAUCUAAGCACGAAACUUGCCCCGAGAUGAGUUCUCCCUGACUCCUUGAGAGUCCUGAAGGAACGUUGAAGACGACGACGUUGAUAGGCCGGGUGUGUAAGCGCAGCGAUGCGUUGAGCUAACCGGUACUAAUGAACCGUGAGGCUUAACCUUACAACGCCGAAG
rnacentral:rRNA from 1 species